rnacentral:rRNA from 1 species
ACGGAAGGCAGCAGUGGGGAAUAUUGCACAAUGGGCGCAAGCCUGAUGUAGCGAUGCCGCGUGAGGGAAGAAGGUUUUCGGAUUGUAAACCUCUGUCAACAGGGACGAUAAUGACUGUACCUGUGAAGGAAGCUCCGGCUAACUACGUGCCAGCAGCCGCGGUAAUACGUAGGGAGCAAGCGUUAUCCGGAAUUACUGGGUGUAAAGGGAGUGUAGGCGGGACUGUAAGUCAGAUGUGAAAUAUGCCGGCUCAACUGGCAGACUGCAUUUGAAACUGCGGUUCUUGAGUGAAGUAGAGGUAAGCGGAAUUCCUAGUGUAGCGGUGAAAUGCGUAGAUAUUAGGAGGAACAUCAGUGGCGAAGGCGGCUUACUGGGCUUUAACUGACGCUGAGGCUCGAAAGCGUGGGGAGCAAACAGGAUUAGAUACCCUGGUA